UACAGAGGUCUCAACCGUUGUUCGGAUUCAUUGGGCGUAAAGGGUGCGUAGGCGGUCGCGCAAGUCGGAUGUGAAAUCUCAGGGCUCAACCCUGAAACUGCAUUCGAUACUGCGUGGCUAGAGUGCUGGAGAGGAGACUGGAAUUUACGGUGUAGCAGUGAAAUGCGUAGAUAUCGUAAGGAAGACCAGUGGCGAAGGCGAGUCUCUGGACAGCAACUGACGUUGAGGCACGAAGGCCAGGGGAGCAAACGGG
rnacentral:rRNA from 1 species